UACGUAGGGGGCAAGCGUUGUCCGGAUUUAUUGGGCGUAAAGCGCGUGUAGGCGGUCCGGUAAGUCCGCUGUGAAAGUCGGGGGCUCAACCCUCGGAUGCCGGUGGAUACUGUCGGGCUUGAGUACGGAAGAGGCGAGUGGAAUUCCUGGUGUAGCGGUGAAAUGCGCAGAUAUCAGGAGGAACACCAAUUGCGAAGGCAGCUCGCUGGGACGUUACUGACGCUGAGGUGCGAAAGCGUGGGGAGCAAACAGG
rnacentral:rRNA from 1 species